UACAGAGGGUGCGAGCGUUGUCCGGAAUCACUGGGCGUAAAGCGUGCGUAGGUGGUUUGUUAAGUCUGAUGUGAAAGCCCUGGGCUCAACCUGGGAAUUGCAUUGGAUACUGGCAGGCUAGAGUGCGGUAGAGGAUGGCGGAAUUCCCGGUGUAGCAGUGAAAUGCGUAGAGAUCGGGAGGAACAUCUGUGGCGAAGGCGGCCAUCUGGACCAGCACUGACACUGAGGCACGAAAGCGUGGGGAGCAAACAGG
rnacentral:rRNA from 1 species